UACGGGGGGUGCAAGCGUUACUCGGAUUUAUUGGGCGUAAAGCGCUCGUAGGCGGUCAAGUAAGUCUGAUGUGAAAGCCCAGGACUCAAUCCUGGAAGUGCAUUGGAUACUGCUAGACUAGAGUACAGGAGGGGUGAGUGGAAUUCCUAGUGUAGAGGUGAAAUUCGUAGAUAUUAGGAGGAACAACAGUGGCGAAGGCGACUCACUGGACUGUAACUGACGCUGAGGAGCGAAAGCGUGGGGAGCAAACAGG
rnacentral:rRNA from 1 species